AGUUGUAGUUUCCAGAGCUCCAGGAGGUUUUUGCUUAUGCCUAGUUUGCUGAACUUAGUACAGGAGGAGCCCAUCCUGUGCAUGUACCAACUACCAGGUUGGCAAAUAGGUUUCAUCCUGAGUGCCAAUUCUGGUCAAUGCAGGAGCUUCCUGGAGGACUUUGCUGAGACAGAAUUCUUAGGCCACCUCUGGCCCUGCAGGAAAGAGGCUGUGAUCAAUUAUUGAUCCCUGCCAGGGAUAUGCCACCAACUUACCAUCUCUAUGACUCAGUUGUAUUUCCCUAGACCCACUUGUGUAGACCCACGUGCUACCUAGACCUAUGUGUGCAGUCUUGUGGGCACUCCAUAAAUACCUGUGAAUGAAAUUUAAUCUACCUAGAGUGCCUCUCCUCUUGAGUGUCCAGUAGAUUCUGUACUUCCUCAGAUGGCUUAGCAGGUGAAAAGGGGAAUAUCCCUUUCGAGUUAUCCUUGGAAACCUUAUUGUUGGGCAGAGCAGGAAGGAUGGGGUAGAUGCCUUCAUUCAUUCUGCAGCUGUUUAUUGAGUGUUCACUGUGGGCUGAACCAUGGAGGCUGGGUGCUGGGGAUACACAGUGUGUGCUGGAGCUGGGGACAGACUUGAGGCCCCCUCUCUCUGCUGAGGUAGAGAGCAGCGAAGGCACCUCACUGCUCAAAGGAGUCAGAGAAGUCUGUGCUUCUCAGUGGCUGAGGGGCUGGGGAGGAAGUCCUCUGCCAGAGCACGGGAACCUUGGCCUCAGGCCUGACAGGUGGCCCUUUUUACCACUGUUCUGCAGGCCUCCUGGGCUCCCUCUGGGGAUGCUUGCAGCUUUCACUGAGCCAGUAAGCUCUUCUCUCGCCUGUGCACACUGGCAGAGGACUUGAAGUGCUUCCCAAAAAUAAGCUGGUUGCCCCCGGGUCCUGCUAAGUUCUGGCAGUUCCAGAAGAAGCAGAUAAAGAAUGCAGAAGGUCCUCUGCCUUCAGUCUACCAGGUUGUCUCCCCUCCCCUCAGCCAGCCCCUUCCAAAGCCCACUGGGUAGGUCUGGUUUCUCAUCCUCAGCACAUGCAAUCGUUAGAUAAGAAUGUUCCAAGAACCUGACUAGCAAGAGUUUCAUUACCACUCAUUUGGGUAAGUCAUGAUGUGCCUGUCCUUGUGAUCAGCUCCUAAAAGCUCAGAAUUUGCCAUUUCAUGCACUUAAAAUGGUUAAAGAAGUGUUUUUGGGAAAACGCAGAUGUUAAUAUUUCAAGUCACAUAAUAACUUUACAACUAUCUUGUAAAUACAAGUAGGAGCAUUUUUGGUUUCAUUUUGUAUUCCGUUUACUGAAAAAUUAAAUAAAUUAAAAUCUUACCUGUUGAAACAUGUAUAUGUGGAUCUGUUCAUGCACAUUUAUACCCUCAUGUGUAUAAGGAGCCACCAUCACAUGUGCUUAUGCAGAUGUCCAUGUGUGAGUGUGCAGCGUACACACACACACACACACACACACGUCCUCAUGCCCACACGCUAGCCUUUUGUUCUAGUUUCUGAUCUUCUGUUAUGGUUAGUUUGUAAAGAAUUGUGUGUCCCACAACGUGAGGCUUGGAGACAUAAGUGUUAGCUGCUACAUCUCCUUAACGUAUUUUUGUUUUCUCAAUCUUCCUUUCAUUACUCUAGAUAUUUGUCAUACAUUCAGUUACAAAUUCAUGGCCAUCCAAAAGCUUCCCCAGGUAUGUGUCCUUCUUCCUGCUUCUGGAGGCAGAGUGGUGUGGCAGGAUGAGCAUGGCCUUUGAAGUCACUCAUGUCAUUCACUGGACAUGAAUGAUAAGCUGUGUGACCUUGGGCAGAGACUUAAUCACUGGAGUCUCAGUCUCCCAAUUAGUAAAACAGUGGUAUGGCUGGGCACAGUGGCUCAUGCCUGUAAUUCCAGCACUUUGGGAGGCUCAGGCAGGCAGAUUACAAGGUCAAGAGAUCAAGACCAUCCUGGCCAACAUGAUGAAACUUAGUGCCUACUAAAAAAAAAAAAAAAUUAGCUGGUCGUGGUGGCACAUGACUGUAGUCCCGGCUACUCGGGAGGCUGAGGCAGGGGAAUCACUUGAACCCGGGAGGCGGAGGUUGCAGUGAGCUGAGAUCGUGCUACUGCACUCCAGCCUGGUAACAGAGCGAGACUCUGUCUAAAAAAACAAAACAAAACAAAAAAAACCCAAACCC
rnacentral:lncRNA from 1 species